UGGGGAAUCUUGCACAAUGGGCGAAAGCCUGAUGCAGCAACGCCGCGUGCGGGAAGAAGGCCCUAGGGUUGUAAACCGCUUUCAGCAGGGAAGAAAAUGACGGUACCUGCAGAAGAAGGUGCGGCCAACUACGUGCCAGCAGCCGCGGUGACACGUAGGCACCAAGCGUUAUCCGGAUUUAUUGGGCGUAAAGAGCUCGUAGGCGGUUCGGUAAGUCGGGUGUGAAAACUCUGGGCUCAACCCAGAGAGGCCACUCGAUACUGCUGUGACUAGAGUGCGGUAGGGGAGCGGGGAAUUCAUGGUGUAGCGGUGAAAUGCGCAGAUAUCAUGAGGAACACCAGUGGCGAAGGCGCCGCUCUGGGCCGUAACUGACGCUGAGGAGCGAAAGCAUGGGUAGCAAACAGGAUUAGAUACCCUGGUAGUCCAUGCCGUAAACGUUGGGCACUAGGUGUGGGUCUCAACCAACGAGAUCCGCGCCGUCG
rnacentral:rRNA from 1 species